rnacentral:rRNA from 1 species
AGUGAACGCUGGCGGUAGGCCUAACACAUGCAAGUCGAACGGCAGCACAGUAAGAGCUUGCUCUUACGGGUGGCGAGUGGCGGACGGGUGAGGAAUACAUCGGAAUCUACUUUUUCGUGGGGGAUAACGUAGGGAAACUUACGCUAAUACCGCAUACGACCUACGGGUGAAAGCAGGGGAUCUUCGGACCUUGCGCGAUUGAAUGAGCCGAGGUCGGAUUAGCUAGUUGGCGGGGUAAAGGCCCACCAAGCCGACGAUCCGUAGCUGGUCUGAGAGGAGGAUCGGCCACACUGGAACUGAGACACGGUCCAGACUCCUACGGGAGGCAGCAGUGGGGAAUAUUGGACAAUGGGCGCAAGCCUGAUCCAGCCAUACCGCGUGGGUGAAGAAGGCCUUCGGGUUGUAAAGCCCUUUUGUUGGGAAAGAAAAGCAGCAGGUUAAUACCCCGCUGUUCUGACGGUACCCAAAGAAUAAGCACCGGCUAACUUCGUG